rnacentral:rRNA from 1 species
AUGGACAUAUACAGAGGGGUUACAACUUGCAUUCCUAGAGCUGGCGACACAAUUCUUCUAUGGAAAGAUAUUCCGAUCGAUGACGAACCCCUUUCCAACAAGCUGCCACACAUGUUCACUUCCACAAGGGAGGAGGAUAUUUCUAUAGUGCAAUUCCAAGACAGACCACAGGCUUCUAAAAACUUUCACCUCACUCUAUCAAUCAAGGCGCUACAUGAAUUAACAUAUCUGCAGAAUCAUAUGAAUGAUCUCUACUUGGAACCAAUGAUGGCUGAUGAAUGGAUUACUUGUUGGGGAGAUGUUCAGUUUCGGCCCAAGAAAUUCACCAACUUCUUCUUCAGAGAACUGCAGCCACCCGCAUACAUCACAAUGAUCUGGAAGACAAAGUGUAUCAUGAAACUUAAAGUGUUCACCUGGCCGAUGUUAAUGGACAGAGUCAACGUAAGGGACAUGCUCCACCGGAGACAUUUUGAUAUUGGAGUCACUCCUGUCUUUUGUGCAACACCACACCACUGGAAACGAACAAACACCCAUUUUUUUAGUGCACCUUCAGUGCGGUCUAUUGGAACUCCAUCAAUAUUCAAUGGGAUACCAACUUGGAGCUUCAGGAGAUGUUUGAUGCAGUGA